rnacentral:rRNA from 1 species
UACGUAGGGGGCAAGCGUUGUCCGGAAUCAUUGGGCGUAAAGCGCGUGUAGGCGGCUCGAUAAGUCUGCUGUGAAAGUCCAGGGCUCAACCCUGGGAUGCCGGUGGAUACUGUCGAGCUCGAGUCCGGAAGAGGCGAGUGGAAUUCCUGGUGUAGCGGUGGAAUGCGCAGAUAUCAGGAGGAACACCAAUAGCGAAGGCAGCUCGCUGGGACGGUAUUGACGCUAAGGCGCGAAAGCGUGGGGAGCAAACAGG